rnacentral:rRNA from 1 species
UACGUAGGGUGCAAGCGUUAAUCGGAAUUACUGGGCGUAAAGCGUGCGCAGGCGGUUAUGUAAGACAGAUGUGAAAUCCCCGGGCUCAACCUGGGAACUGCAUUUGUGACUGCAUAGCUAGAGUACGGUAGAGGGGGAUGGAAUUCCGCGUGUAGCAGUGAAAUGCGUAGAUAUGCGGAGGAACACCGAUGGCGAAGACAAUCCCCUGGACCUGUACUGACGCUCAUGCACGAAAGCGUGGGGAGCAAACAGG